rnacentral:rRNA from 1 species
UACGUAGGGGGCAAGCGUUGUCCGGAUUUAUUGGGCGUAAAGAGCGUGUAGGCGGCCAUACAGGUCAGCUGUGAAAACUCGAGGCUCAACCUCGAGACGUCGGUUGAAACCGUAUGGCUAGAGUCCGGAAGAGGAGAGUGGAAUUCCCGGUGUAGCGGUGAAAUGCGCAGAUAUCAGGAAGAACACCAAUGGCGAAGGCAGCUCUCUGGGACGGUACUGACACUGAGACGCGAAAGCGUGGGGAGCGAACAGG